GAUGGAGUGACGAUUUGCAAAAUUCAAGCACAACAGACAAAAUCACAGGUUUUCUCUCAGGAGUUCAUUUGUAUGCCGAUUAUCCUGCUGAACUGGGUCAUG
rfam:Hordeum vulgare subsp. vulgare, WGS project CAJW01000000 data, contig: morex_contig_19976